GCAGGGAGUAGUCCAGAAAAACCUCAGUAGAGAUGGAGAAUAAGGAUAUUUGUAGUAAAUGGCAUCCCUGCUUAAGAAUGCUUAUGUCUCUUCAAACAGGUAUACAGGGCAGACACUUCACAAAAAUAAACAGGAAUUAAACUUGAAAUCUCAAGCCUCUAGGGCAAACCUCCCAAGUUUAUGCAGCAAUAUUGUUAGAUGUGAAACGCUGCCUGAAAGAAAGUGUGUCCCAGUGUGGCUCCACUGCUUAAAUGAGAAAGUGCUGAAAAUCUGUCCUUCACUCCAAUGGGAUCUAUACAAGUAGUAUUCGUCAUCCACAGUGAUGUUUUUGGAGCGGGAAGAUGUAAUGUAAUGCUGAUGAUGCAACCCCAGACAGUCAUUUCUGUGUAAUAGCUUCAGGCUCAGAAAGCCUGAUCUGCCUCCUGAACAACCGUCACAGGCUUCGCCCCCACGUCUGCGUGGAUGAGGGGACCCAGGAACCAGUUGGAGAAUCAGGAGUUUGCUUAAACUUUAGCGAUAUCUUUCACCUUGAAAUAUUGAUCCCCUAGCUAUAUGCUGCGAUAAAGUUUGCAUUAGAAAUACUGGUACUUUCAGCAUCUCUUGGCUCAGUCUGCAUGUUACUGGCUACUACAGUUUUGUUUUAUCCUUCACUUUGUUAUAGGAUAUCUGCAUCACAUACAGAGUAUAAAAAGGAAUGGAGCGAAUGAGUAAUGCAGCCCUAGUGGGAUUAAAGGCAGAAUUAGGAGACUUUUCUGCUUGAAACAGGUUUAUUUGAUUCAUUUUUAGUGCUUGCUGUUAUAAAGGACAGAGAUCAACAACAACAUAAGACAAGAAUCAGAUUAUUCCUUUGUUAUCCUGCUGUACACAAAGCUGUAACAACAUUUACAAAAUAGUAAUGAAUGACAUUGUUUUCUAGAUGAGACUGUGUGGACUUAUGACAGCUUUCUGCUUCAUUUUUUGUGUUCUAAGCACAAGCAAAGAUGACUAUCUGCAAAAAUAUUAAAUAUAUGACUUCUGAAGAAUCUCAGAAAGGUUAAGAAUUACAGUAUUAACCAUUCCAUCUUCGUUCCACUGAGAAUUUCCAUGAUAAGUUUGCACAGAAAAUUUGAUUUUCUGUGUAUAGAUGCAAGAGAUUUUACCACUUUUCCGUAAAACCUCUUUAAUGGUCUAAGCUAACAUGGUAAAUGUUAAGUAUCUUUGGAAAAGUUUUGAAAAACUACUGCCACAAAAUUAAUCUGAGGCUGAACAAUUUGAAUUUUUUGUCCUUAUAAUCAAAAGCUAAGAGGAAAAAUUCGGAAAAAAAAAAAACUUGCUUUGUUGUUGGAAGCUGGAAAAUUGUUUGACCUGUG
rnacentral:lncRNA from 1 species